rnacentral:rRNA from 1 species
GCGGUAGGGGAGACUGGAAUUCCCGGUGUAACGGUGGAAUGUGUAGAUAUCGGGAAGAACACCAAUGGCGAAGGCAGGUCUCUGGGCCGUUACUGACGCUGAGGAGCGAAAGCGUGGGGAGCGAACAGGAUUAGAUACCCUGGUAGUCCACGCCGUAAACGGUGGAUGCUGGAUGUGGGGCCCGUUCCACGGGUUCCGUGUCGGAGCUAACGCGUUAAGCAUCCCGCCUGGGGAGUACGGCCGCAAGGCUAAAACUCAAAGAAAUUGACGGGGGCCCGCACAAGCGGCGGAGCAUGCGGAUUAAUUCGAUGCAACGCGAAGAACCUUACCUGGGCUUGACAUGUUCCCGACGGUCGUAGAGAUACGGCUUCCCUUCGGGGCGGGUUCACAGGUGGUGCAUGGUCGUCGUCAGCUCGUGUCGUGAGAUGUUGGGUUAAGUCCCGCAACGAGCGCAACCCUCGCCCCGUGUUGCCAGCGGAUUAUGCCGGGAACUCACGGGGGACCGCCGGGGUUAACUCGGAGGAAGGUGGGGAUGACGUCAGAUCAUCAUGCCCCUUACGUCCAGGGCUUCACGCAUGCUACAAUGGCCGGUACAACGGGAUGCGACGCGGCGACGCGGAGCGGAUCCCUGAAAACCGGUCUCAGUUCGGAUCGCAGUCUGCAACUCGACUGCGUGAAGGCGGAGUCGCUAGUAAUCGCGAAUCAGCAACGUCGCGGUGAAUGCGUUCCCGGGCCUUGUACACACCGCCCGUCAAGUCAUGAAAGUGGGCAGCACCCGAAGCCGGUGGCCUAACCCCUUGUGGGAUGGAGCCGUCUAAGGUGAGGC